rnacentral:rRNA from 1 species
AGCAGUCGCACGGAAUCAUUUUGGUAGUAAUACUCGAAUGGUUUAGUGGCGCACGGGUGAGUAACACGUGAAUUACAUGCCCUUCAGUGGGGAAUAGCCCAGGGAAACUUGGAUUAAUACCCCAUGGUCUCGUGAGAGUAAAGGUGGCGCAAGCUGCCGCUGAAGGAUUGGUUCGCGCCCUAUCAGCUUGUUGGUGAGGUAACGGCUCACCAAGGCUACGACGGGUACCUGGUCUGAGAGGACGAUCAGGCACACUGGAACUGAGACACGGUCCAGACACCUACGGGUGGCAGCAGUCGAGAAUAAUUCACAAUGGGGGCAACCCUGAUGGUGCAACGCCGCGUGGAGGAUGACGGUCUUCGGAUUGUAAACUCCUGUCAUCCGGGAGAAAGACCUGGCUGUUAAUAGCAGACAGGGUUGAUAGUACCGGAAGAGGAAGGGACGGCUAACUUCGUGCCAGCAGCCGCGGUAAUACGAAGGUCCCAAGCGUUGUUCGGAAUCACUGGGCGUAAAGGGAGCGUAGGCGGCGCGGUAAGUCAGAUGUGAAAUCCCGGGGCUCAACCCCGGAACUGCAUCCGAUACUGCCGUGCUUGAGCAAUGGAGGGGUAGCUGGAAUUCUCGGUGUAGCAGUGAAAUGCGUAGAUAUCGAGAGGAACACUCGUGGCGAAAGCGAGCUACUGGACAUUUGCUGACGCUGAGGCUCGAAGGCUAGGGGAGCGAAAGGGAUUAGAUACCCCUGUAGUCCUAGCAGUAAACCGUGCACGCUUGGUGUGAGGGGAUUCGACCCCCCUUGUGCCGGAGCUA